AAACCGUUCAGGGGUAAACCUGCGAAACUCGAACGAAUGAACGGGAAGAUUCAACGUUCACCCGCGACGUGAGAGCGUGGUCUGAUGCCGACUCAAUGGGAGCACAUGCAGCGCUUCUUGACGUCCGCGGGAGGCGUGUACUUCUUCCUUAGUAAAACAUCGCAACUCGUUUGAGGUACGGCCAAGUGUCGUUAAGCAAAAGUUUUUGUUUUACAACAAUGAGUUUUGUUUUAGCGGCGCAGCUGUGCCUUCAGACGGCCAGAGAUCACGCACGCGUAUCUAACGCGCCCAGCCUAUUCGAGGUGACUUUUACUCCCUAGAGUGUAUUGUCCCUGCGAGUGCUGAGUUGCUUUGGGCUGUGCGAGACUAUGCGAUGAUUAAGCUUCGGGCACUUGCAGGA
rnacentral:rRNA from 1 species